rnacentral:rRNA from 1 species
UCGGGAAUAUUGCGCAAUGGAGGAAACUCUGACGCAGUGACGCCGCGUAUAGGAAGAAGGUUUUCGGAUUGUAAACUAUUGUCUGCAGGGAAGAAACAAGACUGUACCUGCAAAGAAAGCUCCGGCUAACUACGUGCCAGCAGCCGCGGUAAUACGUAGGGAGCAAGCGUUAUCCGGAUUUAUUGGGUGUAAAGGGUGCGUAGACGGGAAAUUAAGUUAGUUGUGAAAUCCCUCGGCUCAACUGAGGAACUGCAACUAAAACUGGUUUUCUUGAGUGCAGGAGAGGAAAGUGGAAUUCCUAGUGUAGCGGUGAAAUGCGUAGAUAUUAGGAGGAACACCAGUGGCGAAGGCGACUUUCUGGACUGUAACUGACGUUGAGGCACGAAAGUGUGGGGAGCAAACAGGAUUAGAUACC